rnacentral:rRNA from 1 species
AUUGAACGCUAGCGGCAUGCUUAACACAUGCAAGUCGAACGAGUGGCGGACGGGUGAGUAAUGCAUGGGAAUCUGCCUUAUAGAGGGGGAUAACUACGGGAAACUGUCGCUAAUACCGCAUACCAUAGGAUGGGCCCAUAUGGGAUUAGCUAGUUGGUGGGGUAAUGGCCUACCAAGGCGACGAUCCCUAGCUGGUCUGAGAGGAUGACCAGCCACACCGGGACUGAGACACGGCCCGGACUCCUACGGGAGGCAGCAGUGGGGAAUAUUGCGCAAUGGGGGAAACCCUGAUGCAGCCAUGCCGCGUGAAUGAAGAAGGCCUUCGGGUUGUAAAGUACUUUUGGUAGAGAGGCGUUAACUACAGAAGAAGCACCGGCUAACUACGUGCCAGCAGCCGCGGUAAUAC